rnacentral:tRNA from 1 species
GCCUGGGUGGCUCAGUCGGUUGAGCAUCCGACUUUGGCUCAGGUCAUGAUCUCACGGUCUGUGAGUUCGAGCCCCGCGUCAGGCU